CAGUCGCCGCGGGAAUACGUAGGGUGCGAGCGUUAAUCGGAAUUACUGGGCGUAAAGCGUGCGCAGGCGGUUUUGUAAGACAGGCGUGAAAUCCCCGGGCUUAACCUGGGAAUGGCGCUUGUGACUGCAAGGCCAGAGUGCGCCAGAGGGGGGUAGAAUUCCACGUGUAGCAGUGAAAUGCGUAGAGAUGUGGAGGAAUACCGAUGGCGAAGGCAGCCCCCUGGGACGAGACUGACGCUCAUGCACGAAAGCGUGGGGAGCAAACAGGAUUAGAUACCCCCGUAGUCCCUGUCUCUUAUAA
rnacentral:rRNA from 1 species